rnacentral:misc_RNA from 1 species
AACGGUCUAUACCUGCGGUACCUGCGGAGGGAUCAUUACCGAGUGAGGGCCCUCUGGGUCCAACCUCCCACCCGUGUUUAUCGUACCUUGUUGCUUCGGCGGGCCCGCCGUCACGGCCGCCGGGGGGCACCCGCCCCCGGGCCCGCGCCCGCCGAAGACACCCCUGAACGCUGUCUGAAGAUUGCAGUCUGAGCGAUUAGCUAAAUCAGUUAAAACUUUCAACAACGGAUCUCUAGAUCG